GAUGAAGAACGCAGCGAAAUGCGAUAAGUAAUGCGAAUUGCAGAAUUUCCGUGAGUCAUCGAAUCUUUGAACGCACAUUGCGCCCACUGGUAUUCUGGCGGGCAUGCCUGUUCGAGCGUCAUUACAACCCUCAGGCCCCCGGGCCUGGCGUUGGGGAUCGGCGGAAGCCCCCUGCGGGCACAACGCCGUCCCCCAAAUACAGUGGCGGUCCCGCCGCAGCUUCCAUUGCGUAGUAGCUAACACCUCGCAACUGGAGAGCGGCGCGGCCACGCCGUAAAACACCCAACUUCUGAAUGUUGACCUCGAAUCAGGUAGGAAUACCCGCUGAACUUAAGCAUAUCAAAAGCGGAGGA
rnacentral:misc_RNA from 1 species